GAUGAAGAACGUAAGCGAAAUGCGAUAAGUAGUGUGAAUUGCAGAAUUCAGUGAAUCAUCGAAUCUUUGAACGCACAUUGCGCCCCUUGGUAUCCCGAGGGGCAUGCCUGUUCGAGCGUCAUUUCACCACUCAAGCCUGGCUUGGUGUUGGGCGACGUCCUCUUUGGGGACGCGCCUCGAAACGCUCGGCGGCGUGGCACCGGCUUUAAGCGUAGCAGAAUCUUUCGCUUUGGAAGUCGGGGCCCCGUCUGCCGGAAGACCUGCUCGCAAGGUUGACCUCGGAUCAGGCAGGGAUACCCGCUGAACUUAAGCAUAUCAAUAAGCGGAGGA
rnacentral:misc_RNA from 1 species